CAAGAGCCAAACCUAUGCCUCUUAGUGAUGAUAUUGGGCCUUAUGUUGUUCCUUUUCAACAUCAAACUGUCAACCAGUAUGGUAUGUUUUUUUGUUUAAUCUGCAAUUUAUGAUAAUUCUUUUUUAUUUAUGUAUGGAAUUUAUUGGGAGGAAAUGCAGGAAAGAAUUCAUUUACGUGGUUUGGUCCAAGACCAAGGGUGAACAUUACGGACCCUGAAAAAAUAAAAGAAAUACUUAACAAAUUUAAUGACUUCCAGAAGGUACGUACCAAUCCACUUGUUCAUUUGCUUGUAAGCGGCCUUGUUAACCUCGAAGGAGACCGAUGGAGCAAGCAUAGAAAAAUCAUAAACCCUGCAUUUCAUCAAGAUAAGUUGAAGGUAUAGAAUAGUGAUGGGUACUCAGACUUUAAAGAAAACAUCAUACUUAAACCUAUGCUUUUCUGACUUAGAAAAUAAUUGGAUGCAGAAUAUGUUGCCAGCAUUUUAUCAAAGUUGUAGUGACAUGUCAAGCAAAUGGGAGAAGAUGGUGUGUACAGAAGGAUACUGUGAGUUAGAUGUGUGGCCUUAUCUCGUAGAUUUGACAAGAGAUGUGAUUUCCCGAUCUGCUUUUGGAAGCAGCUUCGAAGAAGGCAAACGAAUUUUCCAAUUACCAGAGGACCAACUCGUUCUCACAAUCAAAUUAAUACAAACUGUUUACAUUCCAGGAUGGAGGUAACCCUCAACUUAAUUUACUUGAAAAAGGUUGCAAAUGUUGGAAUUCGCUAAAAGCGUGUUUGUUUUCUUGAAGGUUUUUGCCAACAAAGACAAACGGGGAGAUGAAGAUGAAAUACAAAGACAUAAAAGAGUCGCUUAGGGAAAUGAUAAAGAGAAGAGAGAAGGCAAUUAAAGCAAGGGAAGAGAGCAAUGAGGACUUGUUGGACAUACUUGUGGAAUCCAAUAUCAGAGAAAUGGAAGCAAAGAAUAUGGGGAUGAGCAUUGAGGAUGUGAUUGAGGAAUGCAAGCUGUUUUACUUUGCUGGCCAAGGGACCACUUCGGUCUUGCUGGUGUGGACUAUGGUUUUAUUAGCAAGGCAUCCCGAUUGGCAAAGUAAAGCAAGAGACGAGGUUUUGCAUGUUUUGGGUGACAGUAAACCUGAUGCUGAUGGCCUUAAUCGUCUCAAAGUUGUAAGUCCCUAGCAUGUCUUUUGAAGGUCCGAUCAAUGAGGUCGACAACUCAAAAACUUGGUUUCUUUGUUUCGCUAAUUCUACAGGUAACAAUGAUAUUGUACGAGGUUCUAAGGUUGUACCCACCAGUGGUUGAGCUAGGACGUUCCGUUCCAAAAGAAAUAAAACUGGGAAAUUUGUUGUUACCAGCAGGAACAGACGUUUUGGUUCCAAUCCUGCAGAUCCACCAUGACAAAGAUCUUUGGGGCGACGACGCACGGGAAUUUAAGCCAGAGCGGUUCACGGAAGGAGUUUCCAAAGCAACAAAGAGUCAAGUCACGUUUCUGCCAUUCGGAUGGGGUCCUAGGAUCUGCAUUGGCCAAAACUUUGCCAUGAUGGAAGCCAAAAUGGCGAUGGCUAUGAUUCUCCAACGCUUCUGGUUCGAGCUUUCCCCUUCCUAUGCUCACUCUCCUUACAGCAUGGCAACUCUUCGUCCACAGCAUGGUGCACAGAUAAUUUUACAUAAACUUGGCUCUAAUUGAAUUGUUAUGUAAAUAAAUCUUUGUGAAAAUAUAUAGCUUGUUAGUGUAUCGUCAAAGUCCGGUGUCUGUAAUGGUACAAUUCCGAUGCAUGAAUAGUAAAUUUUGAGAUGUUUAGUGAAGUCCGAAAUAAUAUGCAGAAAUUGAGUGUCUUGAAUGGAUGUAGUAUUUAAUGGUGGACAUAGCUGGGGGACUAAUGUGGUAAUUAUCGAACAAAUAAUUGCAUAUGGUACAAAGACUUGUAUGGAAAUUAGAGCAGGGGGAGUAGAAAAUGACUACUUUGCUUUGGGCAUCAAUUUAGAAAGAUUUAAAGUACAAAUGUAUUAUUAGUUUAAGGGAUUUGUUUUAAAGAAGGAAUGACAAUUAAACCUUAUGAUUGAUUUGUGGAAAGGAAUCGAUGAUGGGAUGAUUACUUUUAGUGGUAAAAAAAACUAUUAAGGAGGUUAUUAUAUUUGUUAUCACCGGCCCAAAAUUUAAAUGUAGUCACGUCAAAUUAUAUCGAGCUCGCAAUAUGAGUUCACGGACCAAGUUUGCAUGAUAAUAGGUGUUCACAUAAAGGUAUUUAUAGUUUACUGCAAAGUCACAUGUGAGAUCGUGCAUUGGAACCGAAUAGACAUGUUUUAUGUUUAGAAUAUGAUACGUGUCUAUGUGCAUAGAAUCUACCUAGUAUAUCAUAUCAAUGAAUAGUAUCAAUUGCGGAGCCAAAAUUUUUUUGAGGGGUAAGAAUUAAAUUGUAUAUUUUUACUAAAAUAAAAAUUCAAUUUUACUAUUUUAAUAGUUUAUUUCUUUUUAAUUUUUAAAUGAUUAAAUCAAAUUUUUAUAAAUUUUUAGAGAUCAAAAUAUAAUUUUAUCAUUACUAAUUUAAAAUUUUAUAAAUUAUAAAGUAUUUAAAUAAAAAAAUUUCCUAUUUUAGGGUGACCAAGGUCCUGCCAACUUCCUACUCGAUCACUGAACAGUAUAAAUAAAUACCAUCAUCUAAAAUACUCAAGAAAAACACUCAAGGAUAAAUAGAGAGAUGUUGGGUAAGUGUCCAAAAUAUGAUUUAAGUGAAGAUACGUGUGGUAGGUGUCAUGGAAAUGUAAAGACAAGAAUCCCACUAAUGUAUGGGAUGUGUACACUUGAAUGUAGGGAGCAAAGAGGAGCGAAUCAUUGUGGUAACAUUUGGACAAGAAAUAAUGAACAAAAUGAAAGGAGAGGAAGCUAGUAAAAGAUUUUUUUGGGUCAUAUAAUUUGUUUGGUAUAUAUUUUUUUAAUUUUUAAAUAUCAUUUUGGAGUUGAAUUAUAGUUUCUUUUUAUGUUUUAAAACAUAAUUAUUUUAUUUUUAGAGUGUCAAAGUAGAGGUGAGCAUGGAUCAGACUACUCGGCUCGGCCGGAAGAUCUGUCUGAAAUGUGAGAGGUUUGAGCAAAAAUAUAGGCAAAAAAAAUGGGCUUGGACAAAAAAUAUAAGGCUCGUUUAGAAAAUGGGUCGGGCCUUGAGUAAGACAUUUUUGGCCUCGAGCCUGGCCCGGCUUGAAUUCACUAAAGGACAAAAAAAAUUAAUUUUUUAAAUAUUAUUUUCUUGUUAUUUUCUUCCUAUUUUGCUACCAUUGUACUAUUAUGUUACUACUAUUUUGUUGUUAUUGUUUGGAUAUUGUAUAAACCUUAUUUUAUUGUUAAUUUUGUUAUUAUUUUAAAGACAUUUGUUAAUUUUGUUAUUAUUUUAGAGACAUUUGCUUGUUAAGUUGCAUCUAUCUUAGUGUUAUUUAAGUAUACAUAUUUUUUAAAAUUUAUUUUCAAUUUGUUGGAAAAUAUUUAUUUUAUAUUUUUAGUAUUUUAGAUGUAUUAUAUAUAUUUUAAAAUUAUAUAAAAAUUAAUAUGGACAGGAGGGUCGAGCCCGAGUUUUAGCAUUUUUAUUCGGGUUAGGCUUGGACAAAAUUUUAAGCCCAUUUUUUGGGCCGAGCCUAACAAACAGUCUUGAAUUUUUAGUUGAGCUUGGCCCGGCCCAUGCUCACCUCUAGUUCAAAGCUGCCCUCGCUUUGCAUUUCUUUGAGAUUCAGUUUUAUCUACUGUUGAUUGGCCACUCAAUUGAGGGUUGAAUAGAAAGAUUUGGUGAAGCAAGCUAAGCUAUCAAUCAAGGUUGGAGAAAGCUUAGGAGAUCACAAUGCAUAAUUAUUUAAAUGUAAUUCUAAUAUUUAAAUAAAAUUUAUUAAUUUAGUAUUAACAAGCCUUAAAUGUAAUGAUCAUAUACUAUUACAUUUUCAAGAAGAAAAAAUAUGUUUGAACCUUAAAAACAACAUUAUUAAAAAUAAUAAUCACAAAUCUUAAAAUAUAAAAAAUAUAAUUAAAAAUUAAUUUUAAACUCGAGCUGUAACAGCCCAAAUUUCAGUGGUGUCGGAAUAGUGAUGUGAGAUCACUAAAUACGACAUGUGAGUUUAGAUAUUAGUAAGUAAAAGUUAAGUGUGAUUUUAGAAAUAUUUUUGAAUUAGUGAAAUUGUGAAUUAAAGAAAAUUUCUAGAUAAAAACGAGGUAUCGAGACCUCUAAUUCAUAAACCAAGCCAUAAAUAUUUUUAGAAAUAUUUAUGGAGUGUUACUAAGUUAGUAUUAAAGUUUUGUUAAGAGAUUUUAACAUUUCAGUAAUUAAUUGAAGAAAAAUGACUAAAUUGAAUAAAGUGUAAAACUAUCAAAUAUGAUUAAAUAGCUUAAGAGAUCAUUAAGGAAUGAGUUAAAAGGUAAAUAGACCCAAAUUAGGUGGGUUGGACGGCAUGAGUGUGCAGGAAAUGUAAAAAAAUCAAGUGUGAACAAAGGGCAAAAGUGAAAAUAGGGUAAAAUUUAAUUGUAAAAUAUGAUGUAGUUGGUAAUUUUAGAGAAUUCAUCAUUUUUCUUCAUCUUCAUCAGCUAAAAACACCAUUAGAGAGCUUUUAAGAAGCUGGUUUUAUAUUUUACAGCAUGUAAGUUCAAUUCUUGAUUAUUUAGUUCAAUUCUUGAUUAUUUCUUGUAAUUUUUGUGUUUUUUGAGACUUUUACAAUUGGGUCCUACUAUUUAACUUAUUAGUUUUUGCUUUUAUGAAUGGUUUAGAAAGUUUCCAUAAAUAAGAGCUGAAAUUUUAUGAUGAUUUAUUAUGGAAUUGGGACUGUAAGUUUAUUAUAUGAUGAUUUUAUGAAGAGAUUUUAUAAGAAUUGAUUUUUAGGACCUAAUUGUGAAAGUCGUUGUAAUUAGGGUUUUGUGUUAAAACUUUGAAUUUCAAAGGCUUGGAAGUAGUUAUAAUGUUUAGAUAAAAUGAUAUUUUAGAAUAAUUAGUUCAAUUGAUGAACAAAUUGAGCAAUGACUAAAUUGUAAAAAUUGAAAAGUUUGAGAAAAAAUGUAAUUUCAAAAAUUAAAGGGUAUAAAUUGUGAAGUAGAAUAGAAUUGAAAUAGAUGCUCAUGAGGGAAUGAUUUUAUAAUUACAGAUCAAGAAAACGAAGUGAAUCGUGGAAAGGAGAAAUUGCAAGAAUAUUCCCUGAAAUUUCUACGACUUUUGCAAAUCAGCCCAGUUAAGUUCAUAUGGAAAAAAUUAAUGUUUUGUUAUGAAAAUCUUAUGAUUUGAUAAGGUAUAUUAUUAUAGAUGAAUACUAUCAAAUUGUAAUAAUUAUGAAAUAAUAUUUAAGUAAAAGUACAAAUUAGUUGGAACAAUGGAUUUGAGUGCUUUCGUUCUGUGACCAUGAUGAAUUGAUGGAAAAGGUGUGAUAUGUGCGCCCGUAUAAGACCAUAGCUGGGCUAUGGCAUCGGUGCAAUGUGAUAUGUGCUCCUGUAUAAGACUAUAGUUGGGCUAUGGCAUCGGUGUGAUGUGAUAAUGUGCUUCUGUAAAAGACCAUAUUUGGGAUAUGGCAUCGGUAUGAUAUGUGACCCGUGUAAGACCAUAACUGGGCUAUGGCUUCGGUGUGUGAUAUGUGACUAUGUGCAAGUCUAUGGUUUUACCAUGGCAAUGUGAUAAUGAAGCACUCAAUUCCAUUAUUGUUUCCUAAUUUGACUAUGAAAGUAAAUGAGAAAUAGGCCCAAGAGAUCUAAAAUUGGUGAAUAGUGACAUUGAAAUCAAUCAAAUGAGUUUAUUAAUGAUUUGUGAUUUACAGGAAGGUUUAGUGAAAUUAAAUAUUAUAUGAUUGUGUGCAAUAUUCGGUAAGAUUUAUUUUUCUGUGCUUAUGAGCGUACUAAGCUUCAAUAAGCUUACUUGUGUAUGUUAUUUGUUUUGUAGAUUGACUUAUAUACAUACGGAGGAUUGGAUCUACAUCGAGGAUCACGCUAUCCAGAUUUAUUCUGGUAGAUUUUGUUAAACAACUUUUUGAUUUAUAUGGCAUGUAUAGGGUUGAUUUGAUAAUGUAAUAGUAUGAAUGAUUAAGUAUGUAAAGUAAAUUGAAUGCGAUGGUUGUGUUUGAUAAUGAAAUAUACAUGUUUUGGCUUGAAAUAGUUGAUUUGUUGGACUUUAUUAGUGUAUAAAUGUGAUUUUGUGCAGGAAAAUAUUAAAAGGGUGAGAAAAGAGGCAUUAAAUGACCUAUUUUCGUCCACACGAGUAGGCGCAGGACAUGUGUGACACACAACCUACUAUAUGGGCAUGUGAUAAGAUCGUGUGUCCCUUGCAACUUAAAAAUGAGAAUCAGAAUGUCCAGGUUUAGGCACAUGGCCUAACAUAAGGGCGUGUGGCUUGACCGUGUGACACACCCACGGGCUUUAACAUGGCCGUGUGAUACGGCUGUGUGAAGUCUGCACUUAAAAUGUGAAAUUUAAUUAUCACACGGCCUAGCAACACAGACGUGUGCUCAGGCUGUGUGACUCAAGUUUCUUCUUGAAUGCAAGUCAGAGAGCUCCACGGGCUUGGGACAUAGGCGUGCGUGACCACACAGCCUACCCACACGGGCGUGUCCCUAUCCACACGGGCGUGUGGCCCUGUUUCAUGAUAAUUUUUUUUAAAAUUUUCUAAAAGCUCUGAAAGUUCUUAGUUUGGUCCCGAUCUAUCUCCAACAUAUAUUUUGGGCCUCGUAGGCCCGUAUAAGGGACUUUAAGCAUGUGUUUGAAUAAUAGUUAAUUUGGAAUGAAGUUUUAUGAUCUGGUUUUGGGUGUUUAAUUGUGUUUAAGCCUGGUAAUACCUCGUACCCUGUUCCGGCGUAGAAUACGAGUAAGGGGUGUUACACAAGCUGGAUAAAAUUCUAAUUUUUGAUAAUGAUAGUAAUAACAAAUCAAUAUUUAAAUUAAAAUUAAAAUUAAUUUAGUAUAAUAUAAUUUUUGAGUUUUCGGCAAAGGCACUCAAUGAAUGCUUGGAAAGAAAUAAUGCAACUUAGUGAAAUAAUGCAACUUAGUGAUAGCUUUUGUUGGAGUUAUAUGCUGUUAUUAUAGUUUUAUGUUUUUAUCUUGCAAAAACAACAUAUUGGAGUUUUCGGUGGACUUUUAAGUUUCAUGAUUUUUUCCUAAUACUUUACGUGAAAAAAAUAAUGGUACUUAAAAAUCUAACAAAAGCUUCUCUAUAAUUUUUAUAAAAAAAACAUUGCUACAAUAUUACAACACAAAGUUACAAUAAUAGCUUAUAACUCAACAAAGGCUAUCAAUAAAUAAUCUCAAGCAAGUUAAAGAGAAAUGUUGAGAAUACCACCCAAAUAGUGACCGACUUUAAAAGUUGAAAACCCAAAGCUAUAGUAUCUCAAACGAAAUCAAACCAUAAAUAUUAAAAUUUUUCGAGUCUAUUAGCUACUGUAAAAAAAUUUAGCUCCAACAGACACCAAAUGAGCCUUUGAUUGAAGAAAAUACGAAAACUAGUCUAGGUAAACCAAGCUGCCAAACUUACUUAUCUUAUCUUUAAUCUGCCGUGAAAUUCAAAACUAAGUUUUUGUUUAUUUCACUUAGAACGACUUUCAAAAAAUUAUUUUUGAAAAAUGGAUUGAUUUUUUUGAAAUAGAUGAUAUUUUAUUGUGUUGAAACUUUAUUCGUUGUCUGAAAACUUUUUUUAAAUUAUUUUCUUAGAGUUAUUUUUAGUGAAAUAAACAUAACAUAAAUAUAUUUGUUAUAAAAAAUUAUAUUAGUAUUUUCUUUUGACAAUUAAAAUUUAUUUUAUGAUAAGACAAUAUUUUACAAUAAUUAAUAUCAUAUAUAUACGUAAUAAUAAAUCAUGUUUAAUUAAAAUUUAAUUUAAAUUAAAUAUAUUAAUAAAGCUACAUAUAAUCAUAUUUUAUAUAAUUAAAAUAUUAAUAUAAAUAUUUUUCAAUAAUAUAUUAAAAAUAUUAAAAUUUAAUAUUAUUAUUACUAAAAUUAAUUAUUAAAAUAAAAAAUGUAAUAUUAAAUAAUUUAUUGUAUUAUUAAAUAUAAAUAAUUAAAUAUGUAUUUUAUAAUAUUUUAAUAUUCUUAAACAGCCAUGUUUUAUAGAUGCUGGUGAUCGUGAUGGUGCAGGCCCUUCUUGUUAUAAUUACUAUAAUUUCUAGUGCAAUAAUUGAAGUUGUUGGGUGGUCAAGCAAACCUCUUUUUGACUGAAAUGCAUGUAAUAUACUGGGCGAAUCUAGAGGGGUUCGCGUGGUACCGGUCUCUCUAAAGUUUAAAAUUGUUAUUUAAAUUUUUAAUUUUUUUAAAAAAUUUUAAAUUUAAUAAAAGUAAAAUUAUAUUUUUAGCUCUUAAAAUUAUAAAAAUUAUAUUUAAUCCUUUAAAAGUUAUAAAUAUAUAGACUAAAAAAUUAAAAUUUCAUUCGGCUUAUUAAAAGAUUAUUCUGGCUUUGCUCUUGAUACCGAUGUUGAAUAUUUUAGAGUAUGUUUCUUUAACAUGGUUCAAUUAUAUAUUUAUAUAAUAUAAUUAUUGUUCAUGAAUGUGACAUCGUAACUAAGUUCAUAUGCAUGUCAACAUAUAUAUUAUUUUAGGGUUAAUACGUUUUUUUUAAAUGUGAGUUCACCUAUAUAAUGGUAUGAACCCGUCACGCGGUCUCAUGAAAUAUGCGAAUAUAUGUCGUGCGAACACAAAGUACGAACUACACAGAAUAAGGACUAAGACCCAAUUGGGUAAUCGGAUACGGAUCAGUAAUAAUGAAUUUCAUAACAGCCACCAUCCCCUCAUUUGUUCUAAUUUAUUUUAUUUCCAGUGAGUUAUUGUUUAUGAUAAUUCACAACAAAUGUUUUUGUCAUUAUUUUUUGGUAAAUAAUAAUAAGAUUAAACUCUACUUUCUUAAGCUCCUUCAAUUCUUUGGACGUUGGUGGUUUUUUAUUCUAAUCUUAUUUUCUUAUUAAUUUCUUUUUUAUAAUAAAUGUGUUUAUAGAUUAAAUUGGAUUAUAAUUGAGUCAUUGUAUGGAAUUAACAUAAUUCAUAUCGAUUAAAAUUUAUUCGACUGGAAAUACAAAUUUAAAAUUUUACUUCAAUUUAUCUUAAUUUAUAAAUGAUGAAUUUAAAUUUAUUUUUUUCUCUCAUUAUAUUCAGUUUUCCGGAUAAGAUUUGGCCCAGAACAAAAACUAUAACAAUAAAACAAAUAUAUAUGUUUUCCAAAAAUUAAAUUGUUAACUUUUAAAAAAAUAUUUUUAGCUAUUUCUCAUCAUUGAGAAUAAAAAUAAGGUCACCUCGCCUCAUGCUUCAACAACUCAACCUAGAUUCUCAUCACCUGUAUUUAUCAUCGAUUCAGAUUUUUAUUUUUACUAUAUUCAAGAACUACCUAUAAAUCUAUCUUCAAACUUCCUCUGGUUAAGUUCAUUCAUAGAUAGGUGAGUAAACUUGAGCUUCAGCUUCAACAAACACCAUAGUUUGAAGACACAAUUCUCUCAUACUAAAAAUAUGGAAGUUUACCAUGUAAUUAGAGAUUUGGUCUCAUUGCUUGUUGUUGGGUUAUUAAUGAUAUGGGGAUGGAGAACUUUAAACUGGGUAUGGUUGGCCCCAAAGAGGCUCGAAAGGUGCUUGAGACAACAGGGUUUUGCAGGGAAUACUUACAGGUUCCUUUCCGGUGACAUAAAACAGCUCUCAACUAUGGGCAGACAAACAAAAGCCAAACCUAUGCCUCUUAGUGAUGAUAUUGGGCCUUAUUGUUGGAGUUUCAACACACUUUAACCGGGUAAAGUAAGAAUUUUAAACAGAGCACUAGCAGCAACGUAUUAUACCCGGAUAAAAUAUGAAGGAAAAAUGCUUGGAGUUCAAGCUUUUAGCUACUGUCAAGAAUGAAGAACAGAACUUAGAAGUUUUUAGAAGGCAAAAAAAGAUGGAGCAUAUGGAAGAAAAUCUGAUGAUUUCAUUCAUUGAAACAUUGGCUUAAAGCCAUUACAUAUACCAGUCAUUUGGCUGGUCAAAAGAUUAACAAAUCCUUUACCUAAACACUACCUAACUCCACUAAUUACAUAGGGACUAGGUGAUUUUACUUGCAAACAUAAACAAAGAUGGUGAUCAGCUCUAUCACCAUCAAAUUACAUCAAACAUAAACUAAACUAAGUUCAAAAUGAACUAGAUUACAAAAGCAUAGUUAAACGGUAACAAAAUGUAACUGAGACGGAAAAGAAGUAUCAACCCCUUCAGUUGCAUGUAUUUUACUCGGGUAACUUGUGUGUAUGAAUUCUUGCACAUACUUUACCCGGAUAACAUAAGUGCAUUAAUUUUCACGUGCUUGAAUCUGCAUGGGCUGCAUGGGAACUAACUUCAACACUUAUGUUGCUCCUUUUCUUCAUCAAAUUGUCAACCAGUAUGGUUUGUUUUUUAUUUAUUUAUUUAAUCUUCAAUUUAUGAUAAUUCUUUGUUAUUUAUGUAUGGAAUUUAUUGGGAGGAAAUGCAGGAAAGAAUUCAUUUACGUGGUUUGGUCCAAGACCAAGGGUGAACAUUACUGACCCUGAAAAAAUAAGAGAAAUACUUAAACAAAUUUAAUGACUUCCAGAAGGUACAUACCAAUCCACUGCUUAAUUUGCUUGUAAGCGGCCUUGUUAAC
rnacentral:lncRNA from 1 species